CCAUGAAGAAAAAGUUUUCUAUUUUAUGCAUUGGCGCCCGCAAAUGACGGCUCGAUUGAAGGCGAUUUCGGUUUCGGUUUCUGACUGCGCAAAGCGCCACCUGUUUCCUGCAGCAAGUGUCAUGGCGACUUCCUGUUUACCUUUCUGGCUCCAACGCGUGCUUUCAACUUCCAAACUUCUGCGCUGUUCUCCGUGACAUUGUGAAAUCUAUAUGGAUUUAUACGUGGUGAUCAUAUCUAGUACCAUUCGGAACAUCAAGCAUCAAUAUUUGAUACGCGACACUUUGCCUACUGGUCGUCAGCAGCUCCCAUAAAGGUGAUUCGCACAGAUCAUGGCUUGAAGCCGUCUGCUGCUUCAGUUUCUUACGCUUGGAUCUUCAGCAAAGGUGAACUUUGCUCGGGAGAUUGCGGCGCCGAUCGAGCGCACAAAUAUUCCGCAGGUCAUCCUUUGGCCGCAUCCCUUGGAAGCACAUAAAAUAAGCAUCGUGAAUGAUGAGUCUACUGCUUCCUUGUCAUACUUUAGGUGGAGAGCCUGUAAAAAAAAAAGUUAUAGAGUGAUAAAUAUCUAAAAGGACGGUGCCACCUUACAAUUACGGUGCUGAAGUGCGUGCCAACAAAUGCUGCACUUAAGUGCAAGGCUCAUUCUUAAAAGGUGUUAAGGGCCGGUUACACUCUUAAGUCAAAAGCUAAGUAUAAAGUUGGUUCUUGAAUGUGGCAGUUAGUGAUGAGAAAAAAAAAAAAAA
rnacentral:lncRNA from 1 species